rnacentral:tRNA from 1 species
UCCCUGAUUGUCCAGGAUCUAAGACUCUGCACUCUCAAUGCAGUGGAACCAGGUUCGAUCCCUGGUCAGGGAA